UGCUUUUGAGGAAGGUUUGGUGGCAAAGGUAGAUUUUUAGCCUUAGCAUUUCACAACUGGUGGGCAGAAUUUAGAUGGGCAGAAGCAUUUUAGGAGGUUUUCAGAUUGAGAAAUGGAGGCAUCGAGGUCAAAUCUUUUACCUAAACCACUGAGCAGCAGAGACAGGUUCCUAUCCCAUGUUUCAGUGCUGGAGCAGACCCGUGUGUGUUUGGGAGCAGGGGUAGCUGGAGCUCUUGGAGGCCUCGCAGAGAGAUGGCCUUGCCCAUGAUGAAGUCCUCUGGUGACUCUGCAGGACUGGCUUCGGUCUUCAAAUUGGAUAUUUCCACUGGCACAUAACUAAGCCUCAGUCAAUGGAACUAUACAUCCAUAAGUCUCAGAAAGCAGAAGGAUGGCUUCCUAAAUGAUUUUUCCUUAUGCUAUAUGUGCCAAUAGAUAUCACUAAUACAAUCAGUACAAAUAAAUCAAGUUCUCAGCUUGUUAAUUAAGUUAAAAAUACAGAAGUUUCCUGGUUAUUCUCUCAUCAGUUUCAGAGUGUUCAUGACUUUGAAGUAGGUCUCACCGGACUAGAGUCAACAGCUGUUCUGAUGAAAUAGACGUGGUCCUCCAUUCACCACAAAGGCAGAGGUCAAGACUGACAGCAACUGCGCAUCACCAGGCGGAAAUUGCUAAGUUCUGGAGGCCGGCGCUGAUGCGAGACUGGGGCCUGCUGGAUCUGUCCCUGGUCACAGAGCAGCUGUGCGCUGUCAAAGUGCCGAGCGCUGUUACAGGUUUUUGCAGUUGUUGUUAUUUAAACCUCAAUCUAAAAAUCUAGUUUAAGAAGUGGGAAUGUUUGUGAUACACGUGAAUAAACCAAGGGGAAGAACUCAGAAGUUACAUCAUCCAUGAAGGGUGAAAAUGUGAUGAACUUUCACUGCUCCAAAGCACUAUAGACCAAAAUUUUGCCUGAUGGGAAAACAAUGACACAUCCUUCCUGUUUU
rnacentral:lncRNA from 10 species